GCCAAAUUAUCCUUUCAGGAACCUAUCUGAGAUAUAAUAAACCCUAAAGUCCAAUAUUUUCUAACUGAAAUGGCCCGCUUCCCAAAUAAAAAGAAGAAGGUGUUCAAUAAGCCGGUUGUGAAGAAGCCCAGUGUUGAUCAUGUCACGGGAGAUAAAAUACCCAAGAGCUUUGUGUUUUCAAGAGGAAAGCUGCCGAGUUCUCUGAGAAAGCUGCAAAUGGACUUAAGAAAGUUGAUGCUCCCCCAUACUGUACUUAAGCUAAAGGAAAAGAAACAGAAUAAUCUUGAGGAUUUUUUGAACGUUGCUGGGCCAAUGGGUGUUACUCAUUUCCUUAUAUUAUCAA